rnacentral:rRNA from 1 species
UACGUAGGGGGCGAGCGUUGUCCGGAUUUAUUGGGCGUAAAGAGCGUGUAGGCGGCCAGGUAGGUCUGCUGUGAAAACUCGAGGCUCAACCUCGAGACGUCGGCGGAAACCAUCUGGCUAGAGUCCGGAAGAGGAGAGUGGAAUUCCUGGUGUAGCGGUGAAAUGCGCAGAUAUCAGGAAGAACACCCGUGGCGAAGCGGCUCUCUGGGACGGUACUGACGCUGAGACGCGAAAGCGUGGGAGCGAACAGG